rnacentral:lncRNA from 1 species
CCGCGCUGCGCUGUUCUGCCGCCGUCCGAUGACGCGGAUCAAAAGCGUCGAGACCCGCGUUGCCUCUGGCGCGCUGGUUGCGUUGCGUGCUACGGCGUCCCGCGGGCCCCAGCGAAAAUAUCUUCGACUGCGGACCAACAGUGACGCGUGUACGGCCGUUGGCUGGCGGCCAUUGAGCGGGGCGAACAGGGAGGAGCCAUGAGCGAGCGGACGGAGACGGAGGGAGACAUGCGGAAUCUGGCAAGCGGGCCCCGCUGACAGCGGGCAAUAACGAUGCCUCACGUACGGCUCCGUCGACACGGGACAGCGCGAGUGAGAGCGAGCGGCCGCUUCCGUGGCGGGGGAAGAUCGGGGACAAAGG